UACGUAGGGUGCGAGCGUUAAUCGGAAUUACUGGGCGUAAAGCGUGCGCAGGCGGUUAUAUAAGACAGUUGUGAAAUCCCCGGGCUCAACCUGGGAAUUGCAUCUGUGACUGUAUAGCUAGAGUACGGUAGAGGGGAUGGAAUUCCGCGUGUAGCAGUGAAAUGCGUAGAUAUGCGGAGGAACACCGAUGGCGAAGGCAAUCCCCUGGACCUGUACUGACGCUCAUGCACGAAAGCGUGGGGAGCAAACAGG
rnacentral:rRNA from 1 species